ACGAACGCUGGCGGCGUGCUUAACACAUGCAAGUCGAACGAGAUCCAUCGAGUGGCAACACUCGUGAAGAUCUAGUGGCGAACGGGUGCGUAACACGUGAGAAACCCACCCCGAACUUCGGGAUAACAGGUGGAAACGCCUGCUAAUACCGGAUACCUUCUUUGAGUCGCAUGGCUCGACGAAGAAAGGUCCGCCGGUUCGGGACGGUCUCGCGGCCUAUCAGCUUGUUGGUGGGGUAACGGCCCACCAAGGCAUCGACGGGUAGCUGGUCUGAGAGGAUGAUCAGCCACACUGGGACUGAGACACGGCCCAGACUCCUACGGGAGGCAGCAGUGGGGAAUCUUGCCCAAUGGGCGCAAGCCUGAGGCAGCAACGCCGCGUGCGGGAAGAAGGCCCUCGGGUUGUAAACCGCUUUCAGCAGGAACGAAAAUGACGGUACCUGCAGAAGAAGGUGCGGCCAACUACGU
rnacentral:rRNA from 1 species